rnacentral:rRNA from 1 species
CCUACGGGAUGCAGCAGUGAGGAAUAUUGGUCAAUGGACGGAAGUCUGAACCAGCCAUGCCGCGUGCAGGAAGACGGCUCUAUGAGUUGUAAACUGCUUUUGUCAAGGAAUAAAACGCGGCACGUGUGCCUUUUUGCAUGUACUUUAUGAAUAAGGAUCGGCUAACUCCGUGCCAGCAGCCGCGGUAAUACGGAGGAUCCGAGCGUUAUCCGGAUUUAUUGGGUUUAAAGGGAGCGUAGAUGGGUUGUUAAGUCAGUUGUGCAAGUUUGCGGCUCAACCGUAAAAUUGCAAUUGAUACUGGCAGUCGUGAGUACAGUUGAGGUAGGCGGAAUUCGUGGUGUAGCGGUGAAAUGCUUAGAUAUCACGAAGAACCCCGAUUGCGAAGGCAGCUUACUAAACUGCCACUGACAUUGAUGCUCGAAAGUGUGGGUAUCAAACAGGAUUAGAUACCCCUGUAGUC